rnacentral:rRNA from 1 species
AAGAAUAAAUUUAUUAAGGAAUUAUUUAUUGUUUUAUAUAAGGUUUAAGAAAGUAAUUUAAUAAAUUUAUUGUUUUAGUAUUUAUACGUGAAUAAAUUUUUGUAAUAAUAGUUAAUUAGUACUGAAGAGGAAGAUUGAAAUAUAUGAAAAUUAUUUUAGUAAAAAGCAGAUGAAUUAUUGUACCUUGUGUAUCAGGGUUUAUUAAAUUAAUAAUAUGUAUAUAUUAUUCCCGAAUUAAGAAGAGCUAAUAUACUAUUUUAGUUAAUGUGGAAUAAUUAUUAAUAAUAGUAUAUUUGUAAUGAAAUGUUUUCGAUUCUUAGGGUAUCUGGUUUUUUAAGAAAUAAAUUUAAUUUAGUUUAAAUCUUGUAUACAUUUUAUUAGUAGAAUUUAUUAUAGGAUUUAAGUAAUAAUUAGGGGGAUAAGCUCUUAAUUGUCAAAUUAAAAAUUUUUAUGAAGAUCUAUUUAAUUGUAAGCUUUAAAUUAGCUAUCAAUUGGGAAAUUGUUAUAAAUUAUUUUACACUUUAGGUGAUUUUAUAGGAAAUUUAAUUUGUUUAUUAAAAUGCUUUAAGUAAUAGUGUUAUAAAGGUAAUUAUGAUAAAAUUAGUAUAAUUAAUUUGUAAUUAUUUUAAUUAGUUUAAAAUUUACACAAAGGAACUCGGCAAAUAUUAUACUCGCCUGUUUAACAAAAACAUGUCUUUUUGUGAUUAAUUUAAAGUCGGUCCUGCCCACUGAAUAUAUUUGAAUGGCCGCGGUAUCUUGACCGUGCAAAGGUAGCAUAAUCAUUAGUCUUUUAAUUGAAGGCUGGAAUGAAUGGUUUGACGAAGUAUAAGCUGUCUCUGUUUAAUUAAUGGAAUUUGUCUUUUUAGUUAAAAGACUUAAAUAAUAAUAAGGGACGAGAAGACCCUAUAGAGCUUUAUAUUAAUAUAUAAUUUAUGUUUUUCAGAUGUUUUAUCAAUUUAUAAUAUAUUUAAUAUUGUGUUGGGGUGACAUGAAGAUAAAAUUAACUCUUUAUUAAAUAAACAUAGAUUUAUGGAUAAUUGAUCCAAUAUUAUUGAUUAAAAGAUAAAGUUACCUUAGGGAUAACAGCGUAAUCCUUCUUGAGAGUUCAUAUCGAAAGAGGGGGUUGCGACCUCGAUGUUGGACUAAGAAAAUGACUAAAUGCAGCAGUUUAGUUUAUAGGUCUGUUCGACCUUUAAAUUCUUACAUGAUCUGAGUUCAGACCGGCGUGAGCCAGGUCGGUUUCUAUCUUUGUUUAAAAAGAAUAUUUUAGUACGAAAGGACCAAAUAUAAGAAAUAGUUUUUUAAAAUGGAAUAUUAUUAAUUUG